UACAGAGGUCUCAAGCGUUGUUCGGAUUCAUUGGGCGUAAAGGGUGCGUAGGUGGCGCUGUAAGUCGGGUGUGAAAUUCGGAGCUCAACUCCGAAACUGCAUUCGAUACUGCGGUGCUUGAGGACUGGAGAGGAGACUGGAAUUCAUGGUGUAGCAGUGAAAUGCGUAGGAUACUAUGAGGAAGACCAGUGGCGAAGGCGGGGUCUCUGGACAGUUCCUGACACUGAGGCACGAAGGCCAGGGGAGCAAACGGG
rnacentral:rRNA from 1 species